GUAUCCAGAAGUUGGUCUUGAAAGAUAGGCUCAAGAGCUUUGUACUGUAUUAAAAAGACGGUGGAUAACUUUUUAUUAGCAAACAUUAUAUUGUGAAGGAGAAGAAGUUGUAUGUUGGAUGGUCACUAAAGAUCUACUACUACUUCAUGUGUAUAUGUGACUGGGGCAAGGAAGAUUGGUAUGCGAUUUGAAUACUUUUUUGAUAACUGG